rnacentral:rRNA from 1 species
GACGAACGCUGGCGGCGUGCCUAAUACAUGCAAGUCGAACGCUUUUUCCUUCACCGGAGCUUGCUCCACCGAAAGAAAAGGAGUGGCGAACGGGUGAGUAACACGUGGGUAACCUGCCCAUCAGAAGGGGAUAACACUUGGAAACAGGUGCUAAUACCGUAUAACAAUCGAAACCGCAUGGUUUCGGUUUGAAAGGCGCUUUUGCGUCACUGAUGGAUGGACCCGCGGUGCAUUAGCUAGUUGGUGAGGUAACGGCUCACCAAGGCAACGAUGCAUAGCCGACCUGAGAGGGUGAUCGGCCACAUUGGGACUGAGACACGGCCCAAACUCCUACGGGAGGCAGCAGUAGGGAAUCUUCGGCAAUGGACGGAAGUCUGACCGAGCAACGCCGCGUGAGUGAAGAAGGUUUUCGGAUCGUAAAACUCUGUUGUUAGAGAAGAACAAGGAUGAGAGUAGAAUGUUCAUCCCUUGACGGUAUCUAACCAGAAAGCCACGGCUAACUACGUGCCAGCAGCCGCGGUAAUACGUAGGUGGCAAGCGUUGUCCGGAUUUAUUGGGCGUAUAGCGAGCGCAGGCGGUUUCUUAAGUCUGAUGUGAAAGCCCCCGGCUCAACCGGGGAGGGUCAUUGGAAACUGGGAAACUUGAGUGCAGAAGGGGAGAGUGGAAUUCCAUGUGUAGCGGUGAAAUGCGUAGAUAUAUGGAGGAACACCAGUGGCGAAGG